UGGUGAUAGGUGAUUUUGAUGUCCGUUGUGCACAGAUGAUCAUGUCAUUGAAGCUUGCUGUAUAAAGAGCUUGUGAAGAGAAACAUAUGCUCAUAAGCAAAGUGACAUGCAGCAGAGGAGAAAACUAUCACCCAGGAAGAUCCCAGACCCAGGACAUGAGAGCUGCAGAGAGCAGAAGAUCCCUGCAGUACGCAGCCUCGUGCCAGUGGUGGUUUAGCAGCAGUCAGCUCCUUAUUAUUCUGCAGUA